GGACAAAUGUCUAAUACGGAAGUAGAGGUCGGCAUUGAGUUCAAUCAAACUGCUUCGCUUGCUGAAAUCCCACGGGCUGAAGACGUUGCAAAGACCUUAGUGGACGCUGUGAAUAACCCCAACAGCACCUUCAACCUCUCUAUUGAUGCCGCUUCUGUCGCUGUAAUUCAAAGCAGUAUCCCAUCAAAUACCACAACAGCAGCGCCUGCCACUGAAGCUCCCCGAAGAGUCGUUGUCCUCUCAGCUACUUUGCAACAAGCAUUCGUAAAACAACUCAAUGAUAAAAACAGCACGGAAUUCAGACAACUCGAGG
ensembl:lncRNA